rnacentral:rRNA from 1 species
CAUCCUGGGGCUGUAGUCGGUCCCAAGGGUUGGGCUGUUCGCCCAUUAAAGCGGUACGCGAGCUGGGUUCAGAACGUCGUGGGACAGUUCGGUCCCUAUCCGUCGUGGGCGUAGGAAAUUUGAGAGGUGCUGUCCUUAGUACGAGAGGACCGGGAUGGACAUACCUCUGGUGUACCAGUUGUCGUGCCAACGGCAUAGCUGGGUAGCUA